rnacentral:rRNA from 1 species
GAUGAACGCUGGCGGCGUGCCUAAUACAUGCAAGUCGAGCGAACGGACGAGAAGCUUGCUUCUCUGAUGUUAGCGGCGGACGGGUGAGUAACACGUGGAUAACCUACCUAUAAGACUGGGAUAACUUCGGGAAACCGUAGCUAACACCGGAUAAUAUUUUGAACCGCAGGGUUCAAAAGUGAAAGACGGUCUUGCUGUCACUUCUCGAUGGAUCCGCGCUGCAUUAGCUAGUUGGUACGGUAACGGCUUACGAAGGCAACGAUGCAUAGCCGGCCUGAGAGGGUGAUCGGCCACACUGGAGCUGAGACACGGUCCAGACUCCUGCGGGAGGCAGCAGUAGGGAAUCUUCCGCAAUGGGCGGAAGCCUGGCGGAGCGACGCCGCGUGAGUGAUGAAGGUCUUCGGAUCGUAAAACUCUGUUAUUAGGGAAGAACAUAUGUGUAAGUAACUGUGCACAUCUUGACGGUACCUAAUCAGAAAGCCACGGCUAACUACGUG